rnacentral:rRNA from 1 species
UACUGGAAACCGGAGCUGAUACCGGAUAAUAUUUUGAACCGCAUGGUUCAAAAGUGAAAGACGGUCUUGCUGUCACUUAUAGAUGGAUCCGCGCUGCAUUAGCUAGUUGGUAAGGUAGCGGCUUACCAAGGCAACGAUGCAUAGCCGACCUGAGAGGGUGAUCGGCCACACUGGAACUGAGACACGGUCCAG